rnacentral:lncRNA from 1 species
GUUGCUUGAGAUGGUUUGGUCAUGUCUUAUGUAAGACUCCAAAUACAUCCUUUGGUACAAUCAAUGUUUUGGAAAGCGAGAAGCGGAAAAAAACGAGGAGGGCUUGCUUUACUGAAGCGUGUAGCGAGUCGCAUGCUUUUUCAAAUGAAGUGCUAUUUAGUAUAAAACUAGAAAAUAUUAAAUAUGCAUAGAUAAACUAGUAAAUCUUCUUCUUUUAGAAAAUUUUGAGGCUUUUGGGAACUCGCAGACAUGGCUUAUACAUUUCAGACCAAAGGGAGAUGGAUAUUUAUGAUCCCAUUACCAUUCUUUAUAUUAUUACGUCCAUAUUCUGCACAGAGUGGAAGUAGCGCAUAUAGAGGUUACAAUGAGAGUAUGUUGCUUGAGAUAGUUUGGUCAUGUCUUAUGUGAGACCCCAAAUACAUCCCUAGGUACAAUCAGGGUUUUGGAAAGCGUGAAACGGAAAAAAGUGACGAGGGCUUGCUUCACCGAAGCGUGAAGUGAAGCGCAUGCUUUUUUCAAAUAAAGUGCUAUUUAGUAUAAAACUAGAAAAUAUUAAAUAUUCAUAGAUAAAUAAUCAAGAACUCAAUAGAGGUAUCAUAUUAAGCAAAUCUUUCAAUUCUUAGAUUAAAAAGUAAAUAAUAGAUGCUAGAAAUAGAUAUUGAAUAAGAAAAUACAACUUACUACAAGCACAAACAGAACAGUGUCUCAGUCACAGGACAGCAAAAACACAAAGGAAAAAAAAUAGAGCAGAACAGAGCAGCAAAACAAAAAAAGAAAAAGAAAAGCAGAGUAUACCCAGUAGCAUUACAAACAGAGGAAUCUUAAAUUAGAAGAAAUAAAAAUAGAGUAAUGCGUAAUGCUACUUAACUUAAGUAGCAUUACAAACAGCAAACUGAAAAGUAAAAAAAAAUCCUACUUACCUUGUGGAGCAGAGAAACAGAAAGAGAAGAAGAGAAGAGAAGAGAAGAAGAACUGACAUAAGUAUUUUUACAGAAAGUCCAGCAGUAGUCGACAAAGGAGGGAAAAUAUUUGGUAAAACUUACGUAAGUAUAUUUACAGAAAUUAAACAAAAAACUUAGUUAGCGCUUAUCUCUAAAAAGCGAGCCUUUUCUCGCUUUAAUAAAAAGCACGCUUUUUGCUCUUUGGAAAGGAGCGCAUGCUUCUUCACCAUUGCGUCGCUUCAGGGCAUUAGAAUGACAGCCUGUU